UUCCUUUUGAGAAGUGUUCGCACAAGACGUACGCAAGACACAUGAGAGCCAAUACUUUGAGGUUUAUGAAGCACAUUGUUUGUCCUCCUUUCUUCAGCGGAUCAUCUUCUGCACUAUCAGCAGCACUUACACUGCAAAUCGGACAUAUUGGCGAGCAUGGAUGCACUAAACCUGUGCUUAAUUCUGCUUCUACCACUGACUGCAUGCUCACAACAUUUGGGAGGAGAGACUGUUGUGAAAACAAUUGGGAAACAACCAGAUGUCACUCAAAUAUGCACCAAUGAAACACAGAAAAUCAUCACACUGAUCGUUUGUAAGAUCAGAACUCAGAGAAGUGGAGGAGAAAAUUGUAGUCUGCUGUAUGACUAUGGACGGGACUUUGAGAACAAAUGUGACUCCAGGUUCACACUGAUGAAGGAAAAUCAGACGGUGUUUCUCCACCUGAUCAAUUUAACAUCAGAGGACAGUGGGAGCUACACCUGUCAGUGUUCAGCUCCUGAAAAAACAAAAAUUCUCCAUCUUAAUGUCACUGUGGAAGGUAAACAAGAACUAAGCAGCAGGUCUGGAACAGAAACACUUCCUCUUACACUGAUUUGUGUAACCGUGUUCAUCAUUGUGAGUUUAGUUAUCUUUGGAUUUAUUUACGCACGACUGUGCGACAGUGGCUGUUCAAGGUCAGAAACAUCUGGACUGUCAGUGAAGGAGACUCACGGCUCUUUGGAUGAAGAUGUCCAAGAUGAUUCUUACACAAACCUUCAGCAUCCAACAAAUGAUCUCUACCAAACUAUCACCUCAGAUCACCGCUCAGCACGACAUCACUACAAAUUAAGAAUAUUAAGUGUCUGCUGUUGUGAUUAUUCAGCCAGGAGAACAGAAGCUGUCAGCCUUGAUAGUCAAACGCUUUUAUUUUUGCAAUAUUGAAACAUUUUGAAACAUGUAAAACUGCACAUGACACAUGAGUAAUAUUGCUCUGAUAUAAAUAUUUUUAUGACAAGACGUCUCUUUCAUACUGGAUACAUGUUUUAUAACAACUAACUAACUAAACAGGUUCACAGAUGUGUCCUUUUGCAAAUACAAAGUAACUGUGUCAAUAUGAAUCCUUGUGUAUUUGAAAGUUUAUGAAAACUAACAUUUCACCAUCGUCAGCUCUUAAUUCCAGACACGAGUUUGUUUCUAAACUAGAACAAAACAGUUAAAAACUCUUCCUGGUUUCUCUUCUGUAUUCAUCUGUUUACUCACUAUUUUAACCUUUAAGGCAUCCAAACAUAGGAGAAUUUGAGGUGUUACUGAGGGGUACGAGUCUUUUUUUCUAUAAAUAGUUCUACAUCAUCCUCACAGCCACAGUUACUUCCUGAUCAGUAUGGUCACACAGAAACUCUGCUGUGCUGCUUCUGAAUCUAAUUCUGUUUUAGCUGUGAAGAUAUUAUCUAUAUAUUAAAUCUUGAGUGUGUAAAUGUCAACAAACAUGGCAGUUUUGUGUGUGACACGCCCACUGAGAUGAAAAUGAGUAUGUUUAGUUUUUGUGUGUGAUUCUGCUCAGUGUUUUACUUUCAGAGGGUCUUUAACUUAAAGCAGAAGUGAUCAUCCAUAUACUUCCCUUUGCAGAAGAUUUCUACCCGCAUGAAACGCUGUGAGAGAUAUAAGAGUUUUAUGUAACUCCUUGAGUUUGCUUAGUGCUUCACUUUGACAUAGUUUUAAUAUGACAGCAGAAGCAGUCGCGUGCAUGCACUUCCUUUAUAGAAGCUUCUUUCUUUGAGGUUUAUUAACAACUCUCAGUACAACAUCGUCUGUACUGUCUGCAGCAGUGACUGUGACACCUGAACAAAUAUGGAUGCACUCAAGCUGUACUUUAUUCUGCUUCUACCACCAACUGCAUGCUCACAAGAUUUAGGAGGAGAAACUGCUGUGAAAACAACUGGAAACAACCAGAUGUCACUCAAAUAUGAAAGACAGAACAUCACCACACUGAUCGUUUGUAAGAUCAGAACUCAGAGAAUGGAAGGAGGAAAUUGUUUUCUGCUGUAUGAAUAUGGACGGGGCUUUAAUGUGACUCCAAGUUUACGCUGAUGAGUUUCUCCACCUGAUCAAUUUCACAUCAGAGGACAGUGGGAGCUACACCUGUCAGUGUUCAGCUCCCGAUGGAACUACCUGUCACUGUGGAAUGUCACUUCUUCCCACUCUAUUAAAAGGACAUUGAACUGUUUACAUGGUUGAUUUGUUGUCUUGCUUUUUCCUCGUUCAUCAGUUUAAAUAAUAAACAACAUGAUGUCCAGGCUUAUACAAGCGAUUACACCUGAUUUCACUUUGUUUUUCAUAUAAAUGACUGUUUUAACUGUUUAAUGUCAGUAGAAACUGUAAACUGUGCUUUGAAUACCUCAGAUAUGAUAACGUAGUGUGUGAUGUGUGCAGAACAUGUUAGAAAUAUGAUAAAAUUAUUAUCACAA